GGGCAGGUCCUAGGAUCCUGUUCGCCCUCGUUAGCGUUCGCGCUUCUCUUAGAAGACUGCCCAGCCGAAUGGAAGCCAUCUGGAUGGCAUCGUCAAAGAGAAUGCUACCUGUGAUCCUGCCAUAUCAUAUCUGUCUCAAAGAUUAAGCCAUGCAUGUAAGUAUGAACAAAUCAGACUGUGAAACUGCGAAUGCUCAUAAAUCAGUUAUAGUUGUUGAUGUAUCUGCUACUCGGAUAACCGUAGUAAUCUAGAGCUAAUACGUGCAACAAACCCCGACUUCUGGAAGGAUGCAUUAUUAGAUAAAAGUCGACGCGGCUUGCCCGUGCUGCGAUGAUCAUGAUAACUCGACGGAUCGCACGCCCUUGCCGCGACGCAUCAUUCAAAUUCUGCCCUAUCAACUUCGAUGGAGAUA
rnacentral:lncRNA from 1 species